GAUGAACGCUGGCGGCGUGCCUAAUACAUGCAAGUCGAGCGAAUGGAUUAAGAGCUUGCUCUUAUGAAGUUAGCGGCGGACGGGUGAGUAACACGUGGGUAACCUGCCCAUAAGAAUGGGAUAACUCCGGGAAACCGGGGCUAAUACCGGAUAACAUUUUGAACCGCAUGGUUCGAAAUUGAAAGGCGUCUUCGGCUGUCACUAAUGGAUGGCCCCGCGUCGCAUUAGCUAGUUGGUGAGGUAACGGCUCACCAAGGCAACGAUGCGUAGCCGAGCUGAGAGGGUGAUCGGCCACACUGGUACUAAAACACGGCCCAGACUCCUACGGGAGGCAGCAGUAGGGAAUCUUCCGCAAUGGACGAAAGUCUGACGGAGCAACGCCGCGUGAGUGAUGAAGGCUUUCGGGUCGUAAAACUCUGUUGUUAGGGAAGAACAAGUGCUAGUUGAAUAAGCUGGCACCUUGACGGUACCUAACCAGAAAGCCACGGCUAACUACGUGCCAGCCGCCGCAGUAA
rnacentral:rRNA from 1 species